rnacentral:ncRNA from 1 species
UAUGUUACAAUAGAAUAGUUGUUUGGCAACCCUUGAUGCUUAGUUCCCUUUCAUCAAGCAUAUUACACACGUAGCAAGGUUAAGUCCUUGUUUUGACGUUAAAGGAGAAAACAUG